UGGGGAAUCUUGCGCAAUGGUCGAGAGACUGACGCAGCGACGCCGCGUGUGGGAGGACGCCUUUCGGGGUGUAAACCACUGUUGCCCGGGACGAAUCGGCCUAUUCGUAGGCCUUGACGGUACCUGCAGAAGAAGCCCCGGCCAACUACGUGCCAGCAGCCGCGGUAAUACGUAGGGGGCGAGCGUUGUCCGGAUUUAUUGGGCGUAAAGAGCUCGUAGGCGGUUCGAUAAGUCGGAUGUGAAAUCUCCACGCUCAACGUGGAGAGGCCAUUCGAUACUGUCGUGACUCGAGUCCGGUAGGGGAGUGUGGAAUUCCCGGUGUAGCGGUGAAAUGCGCAGAGAUCGGGAGGAACACCCGUAGCGAAGGCGGCACUCUGGGCCGGUACUGACGCUGAGGAGCGAAAGCGUGGGGAGCAAA
rnacentral:rRNA from 1 species